CAGCAAUCGGUAAUUCGGUGACAAGCUUAUGUGCAAGAGUAUUUGUAUAUGAAAAUGUUUUUGCUUUACUGUGGACGACCGGUCUGAAAAUACCUGAUAAUAUUUGCUUCAAUUGCAGCUAUUGCACCAGUGAAGGAUGUCUGUGUGCUGGUUUGUGCUCAGUUUCUCAGCCAGCGGGCCUGAAAAAGUGUGCCACAGCAGUCUGUCUAGUGGUGCUCUUUGUUCUGGAAGGACGCAAGCAUUGCAAGGAGCCAUUUGACCUGCCGCCACACUAAUAUUGUAUUUGGCAAAGCCGAAAGCCUCUGCAAGCAGCCAGUCAUUCCAAGUCUCAACCAAUCCUUCCUCUAGUCAGCCAAUUUCUAGUGUCUAUGCGGAGAGGACUUGCGCAAGAGUGGACACGGGACACUAAAAAGGCGACAAGGACAGACGUAAACUUCCAACCGGUGUUCAUUACAAAAAGGUAUGUAUAUGUACUCUUGCACACUUGAUCAUAAUCUGUUACAAUCGUGCAAGUCAACAUGGCCAUCACAAAUAAACGAGCGCACCAAGGCCUAAGGCGGCUUCCUGCAUACAGACCCCAGAUAUUCGAAUUCUUUAACAGUCAUUGCUAUAGGGAUGGCUUGCUAACGCAGUUGCAUUCUGCAAUAGCCGCUGCCUCAAUGAUGAGUCUAGUGUUUUCUUUCACACUGCUUGCUAUUAGUAUUUCUGUUUUUUCAAACAGUCAGUGACAUUUGCAUUGGGUGCAAUGGAUUCCAAGGAAACCUUCUUUCCCUUUUUGUACUUUCUGAUUAUGUUCCUGUAGUCUCAAGUUUAGGAAACUUCCCAUUUGUCCCACGUAACGCU